AUACCCUGGUAGUCCACACCGUAAACGCUGUCUACUAGCUGUGUGUGAAUUUAAUUCGUGCGUAGCGAAGCUAACGCGCUAAGUAGACCGCCUGGGGAGUACGGCCGCAAGGUUAAAACUCAAAUGAAUUGACGGGGGCCCGCACAAGCGGUGGAGCAUGUGGUUUAAUUCGAUGCAACGCGAAGAACCUUACCUACACUUGACAUGCAGAGAACUUUCUAGAGAUAGAUUGGUGCCUUCGGGAACUCUGACACAGGUGCUGCAUGGCUGUCGUCAGCUCGUGUCGUGAGAUGUUGGGUUAAGUCCCGCAACGAGCG
rnacentral:rRNA from 1 species